GACGAACGCUGGCGGCGUGCUUAACACAUGCAAGUCGAACGGAAAGGCCCUGCUUUUGUUGGUUUCUCGAUUGGCGAACGCGUGAGUAACACGUGAGUAACCUGCCCUUGUCUUUGGGAUAACUUCAGGAAACUGGGGCUAAUACCGGAUAGGAUCUCUUGCUGCAUGUUGGGGGUUGGAAAGUUUCGGCGGUUGGGGAUGGACUCGCGGCUUAUCAGCUUGUUGGUGUGGUAGUGGCUUACGAAGGGUUUGACGGGUAGCCGGCAUGGGAGCGUGACCGGGGACAAGGGGACUGAGAGACGGAGCAGAAUCGUAUGGGAGGCAGCAGGCGGAAAUAUGACAGAACGAGGGGGAGUGAGAGACGGAAACGCUCGGUGCGUGAAAAUGGGUUAUGAGUGAAGAACCGAUGUCGAAUGAAACGAAGAGGGAGUGACGGUAAUGGGUAAAGAAGCACCGGCUAACUACGUG
rnacentral:rRNA from 1 species